ensembl:misc_RNA Metazoa_SRP Metazoan signal recognition particle RNA
GCCCAGCUCUUCAGGAGGCUGAGGUGGGAGGAUGGCUUGAGCCCAGGAAUUCUAGGCUGUAGUUCUGCACUAUGCCAAUCGGGUGGCCACACUAAAUUCCACAUCAAUAUGGUGUGCUCUUGAGAGCAGGGAACUACCAGGUUGCCUAAGGAGGGGUGAACCAGCCCAGAUCAGAAACAGAGCUGGUCCAAACUCCCACGCUAAUCAGUAAUGGGGACGUGCCUGUGAAUACCACUGCAUCCACCCAGGGCAACAUAGAGAGACUUCCUCUCUA